rnacentral:rRNA from 1 species
GACGAACGCUGGCGGCGUGCUUAACACAUGCAAGUCGAACGGAAAGGCCCUGCUUUUGUGGGGUGCUCGAGUGGCGAACGGGUGAGUAACACGUGAGUAACCUGCCCUUGACUUUGGGAGAACUUCAGGAAACUCGGGCGCAUACCGGAUAGGAGCUCCUGCUGCAUGGUGGGGGUUGGAAAGAUGCGGCGGUUGGUGAUGGACUCGCGGCUUAUCAGCUUGUUGGUGGGGUAGUGGCUUACCAAGGCUUUGACGGGUAGCCGGCCUGUGAGGGUGUCCGGCCACAUUUGGACUGAGAUACGGCCCAGACUCCUACGGGAGACAGCAGUGGGGAAUAUUGCACAAUGAGCGGAAGCCGAAUGCAGCAACGCCGCGUGCGGGAUAACGGGCUACGGGUGGUAAACCGCUGUCGCCUUUGACGAAGAGUAAGUGACGGUAAUGGGUAGAGAAGCACCGGCUAACUACGUG